rnacentral:rRNA from 1 species
CACCGCCCGUCACACCAUGGGAUGGGGGUUCACCAGAAAGCCGGUUGCCUAACCUCGCAAGAGGGGGGCGCUGACCACGGUGAGCUUCAUGACUGGGGUG